AAAAGAUUGAACACCAACAAAAGGAAAAGCAACUAACACCAACUUAAAUGACAGCAAAAGCAAGCUCCCAUUAGAACACCAACAACAAUCUCUGCAAUUUUAAUUUGACAUCGAAUUCUUCUCGAAUGUCCUUGUCCUUACCAGUUACACCCCCCUCUUGUCCUUCUGUUUCUUCAUUUUACACUGAAUCCUUCCCAAAUAAUACUUG
rnacentral:misc_RNA from 1 species